rnacentral:tRNA from 1 species
UGGGUCUGUAGCUCAGAUGGAAGAGCGCACCCCUGAUAAGAGUGAGGUCGGUAGUUCAAGUCUGCCCAGACCCAA